rnacentral:rRNA from 1 species
AUGACCCUUGCGGUUUUGAUCCUACCUACACCUGGAGUCAAUCCCCUAACGGUCCUGCCACCAUGCCCCAGAACAUGAGCUCGUAUGGAACCUUGGAUUUCUGGCGUAAUGGUGGUGAAUGGUAUCAAAAUAUUACUGUUGCAUAACAUAGUAUAUACACUAAGGUUGGCCAAAAUAUGGACACCCGAAGGGCCCGACACGCACAAUUUAAUCCUAUCCGAGCCCGUCAUUGCAUGCACUUCAGACAACUGUCUGUAG